AGGGCGGUGGCUCAAUUGGUAGAGCAGCGGUCUCCAAAACCGCAGGUUGCAGGUUCGAGUCCUGUCCGCCCUG
rfam:Microbacteriaceae bacterium BACL25 MAG-120322-bin65 contig00631_1_120322-bin65, whole genome shotgun sequence.